AGGGGUAUCGCCAAAUGGUUAAGGCAUGGGUUUUUGGUGCCCAUUAUUAUAGGUUCGAAUCCUAUUACCCUUG
rnacentral:tRNA from 1 species